GAUGAACGCUGGCGGCGUGCUUAACACAUGCAAGUCGAACGAAGCACUUUAUUUGAUUUCCUUCGGGACUGAUUAUUUUGUGACUGAGUGGCGGACGGGUGAGUAACGCGUGGGUAACCUGCCUUGUACAGGGGGAUAACAGUUGGAAACGGCUGCUAAUACCGCAUAAGCACACAGCAUCGCAUGAUGCAGUGUGAAAAACUCCGGUGGUAUAAGAUGGACCCGCGUUGGAUUAGCUAGUUGGUGAGGUAACGGCCCACCAAGGCGACGAUCCAUAGCCGACCUGAGAGGGUGACCGGCCACAUUGGGACUGAGACACGGCCCAAACUCCUACGGGAGGCAGCAGUGGGGAAUAUUGCACAAUGGGCGAAAGCCUGAUGCAGCGACGCCGCGUGAGCGAAGAAGUAUUUCGGUAUGUAAAGCUCUAUCAGCAGGGAAGAUAAUGACGGUA
rnacentral:rRNA from 1 species